rnacentral:rRNA from 1 species
CGGAUCAUAGUGGCGCACGGGUGCGUAACGCGUGGGAAUCUGCCCUUGGGUUCGGAAUAACAGUUGGAAACGACUGCUAAUACCGGAUGAUGUCGAUAAGACCAAAGAUUUAUCGCCCGAGGAUGAGCCCGCGUCGGAUUAGCUAGUUGGUGGGGUAAAGGCCUACCAAGGCGACGAUCCGUAGCUGGUCUGAGAGGAUGAUCAGCCACACUGGGACUGAGACACGGCCCAGACUCCUACGGGAGGCAGCAGUGGGGAAUAUUGGACAAUGGGCGCAAGCCUGAUCCAGCAAUGCCGCGUGAGUGAUGAAGGCCUUAGGGUUGUAAAGCUCUUUUACCCGGGAAGAUAAUGACUGUACCGGGAGAAUAAGCCCCGGCUAACUCCGUGCCAGCAGCCGCGGUAAUACGGAGGGGGCUAGCGUUGUUCGGAAUUACUGGGCGUAAAGCGCACGUAGGCGGCUUUGUAAGUCAGGGGUGAAAGCCUGGAGCUCAACUCCAGAACUGCCUUUGAGACUGCAUCGCUUGAAUCCGGGAGAGGUGAGUGGAAUUCCGAGUGUAGAGGUGAAAUUCGUAGAUAUUCGGAAGAACACCAGUGGCGAA